ensembl:lncRNA LINC00710 long intergenic non-protein coding RNA 710
AGAUCGUACAACCAACGUGGUAAUGCUGGCAUAAUAAUUCCCGGUUGCCAUUUUCUGACAUUUGAAAAGAUCUGAAGAUACGCCCCUUGGAUGCCUGCAGAGAAGCUCUGGGGCUUCAGUCAAUGACUCAGGGUAGCCACCGAACAUGAUGCUCGGGCAGUGGGUGCCACCUGGACUCCACUCUCCCCUCUCUCUGGGAUCAUAGAGUCCAAGGUGUUCUGUGGCCUCUCGGCCAAUCCCAGCAGCUCAGCGUGCAGAAGACCGAGGAGCCAUUGGAAAAGAAAAAGAGAACAUAUAUCCCCCUACCUUUUGAUUUCCAACAGUCUACUGAGAGGCCAAGAUUAUUUGCAGGGAAAGAAAAGGGGUCAAAAUGUUUUGCCAGUAACUCCCAAAUCAUCUACAGCCAAGGAGAAAAGUGUUUCAAGACAGAGGUGCUCAAUGGUAUCAAAUACUGCCAACAGACCAAGUAAUACAUGCAUUGAAGUGUCUACUGGAUCUAGCUAUAUGAAUUUUUAAUUUAGGACACUUAGGCCAUACUGAAGCAAGGUGACAAAAUGAAUAGCUACAAUGUCUCGUGAAUCUUGGGUUUCCAUUCACCCUGGUAUUCAAGAGAAAUUCUUGCAUCAUGGAAGUUGCAGUUGGAUAGGACUUUCUCAGCUGAACACUGUCAUCUGCCAGAGCUUCAGGCAAGAACCCAGAACAGAUGAAACCCCAGACAUGACAAAAUAAGCCAAAGAAUACCAGGCCAAGGUGUGAAAGGCCAGAUGAGAACAAGCAGCGUACACGAUUCUGUUGCCAACAGAUCUCCCCUAACAGUGUCGUGCACCAAAUUUCCACAGUGAAUGUCAGGAAAAAAUGGCAAUUGAGGUGGGUGGUCAAAAGAGAAGCACAGUCUAUGAUGAAGUCACCCCAGAGAAGUCCUUUUUCCGUUUUCUCCUGAGAAAUUACCAGAAGAAAUUAAAAUCCUUUUGAGUAUUGCAUUUAUCUCUGCAGUAACAUUAUUUUUUCUUAAGGAAUCUCUAUCAAAUUUGCAUCUUGUCUAAUUUAGCAGGGAAUGUCACCAGGAUAAGACAACUGCAAAACCCAUUUGGGUGUGCCAAAUGACUUCAACCGAACCUCCAUGCAAACAACAUACAAGAUGCUUUCUUACUAAAUGCUCAAACAUCAAGUUCUACAUCCAGAACUGCCCCUCAACCCUCACCCUCUCGAACUCAGUAAAAAACAACCCUCUUUCUAGCUCUGCAUUUCCAAUGAAUGCCUCUUCCUCCAGACAUCCCUAGUUUUUGUUCAUGAUACUAGGACAUUCCUAAACUGGAAAUGUGAGAAUCAUGUGGACUGCUCGCUCCCUCCUUCAUUGCCUGAGUUUAAGCAAAUAAUAUUGAUUAGUUUUCCCCAA